rnacentral:lncRNA from 1 species
AAGGUUGGAAUUGCUUUUAUUGGGGGCGGAUGCCGCAAGGCCCCGCCCACGGUCAGGUUAGUGUUCUGCCCUUGCAGAGGCGCCAGCAGCCUGACACCUCCACCUGCCACCCGCCCAGGGUUAGUGGAACAUGCAAAGCUCGGAAGGUGGAGGCAGGGGCGGUCGCUGCUGAGGCCAGGGCUGGGUGGAACAGGACGGUCAGCACAGAGCCUGGCCGGCGUCCCUGGGCCCAAAGAGGGCUGGGGCUCCCUGGGAGAGAGACGGGCAGGCAGCACCCCAGGGUGGGGUCCACAAGCUGAAGGGGCCCCUGGACCCACCAGGGCAGGUCUGCAGCUCCCAGCCAUGCCAGCUGGAACGUACAUCUCCCCACCGGGUCUGGGUCCUCAGGGCCUGGGGUUAGAGGCCGACAAGGAAGGCACUUACUAGGGGAACAGAGGCUGGAGGCUGAUGCCGGAGGCCAGAGGUCUCAGGAGUGAGUGUGGGGGGUGAGCUGGAAAGCACAGAUCAGACAGCACUGUGGGGGCUGGGCCCGAGGGCCUCAUCUUCCCAUGGGGAAGGGGCUUCUCUGGGUAGACUGGGAGAGAGGCCGACUGGGGCUCCCCAUCCCCAGCAAGGCCUACCGUGCAGGCCAGUGCUAGAAACACCAGGGCAGAAACGCCAGCCCAGGGCUCCAGCCCUAAGAGGCUGAGGGCCCUCUACUGACGGGGCUGAGCCCAGCUGCCCUGUGCAGCUAGGACAGGCAGACGGGCAACCCUGGGGACAGGAGGGUGGGCUGGGGCCCAGCGUGGGACCCUCCAAGGCACCUGGCUGUGUGAGUGGCAGGUAGAGGGGAGUGGGGAGACCCGAGGGGGUGAGACGGCCAGCAGGGCUGGGCCAGCCCUGUCCCCCAAGAUACAGGCUGUCUGGACAGCAGAUAUAUAUUAAUAUAUUAGUCUGGUCUUUUUGGUUAAACUUUAGGCACCACUUGGGAGGAAGACACCUUUAAGCGUUGAAAACGACCCCAGUGCCUCGGUGGGAGCCGGGCUGGGCCGCAUGCAGAGCGGGGUGGGCGCAGGCAGGCUCAGGCCACGGCGGACUCAGGGCCCCCACGGAGGCCGAGGACCCUGAGGCGUAGCGGCGGCCGUAGCCCGAGGAGGAGUAGGAGGACGAAGAGAAGGUCAUGGAGAAGCCAGAGCCAGUGGCGUCAAAGCUGCCGCUGGCGGGAGCCGCCCGGGAGCCAGUGCGGGAGCCGUGCGGGAGCCGGCGGUGGAGCCGGAGCCGCUGACGCUGUAGGGGCUGUAGUAGCCCUUGCUGGACUGCGCGGCAGCCUCCAGCAGCCGCAGCCCUGUGCCCUCCUCCACCAUGCUGCGGUCCAGCGCGUCCUUGUAGGAGAUCUUGAGCUUGGUCUUAGGGCAGGUGAGGUACUUGGAGUAGGCGCCCACAUCACGCAGCUUCUGUGCAGUGCGGGCAUCCACCGUGCCACGCUGCAGGGCCUCAUCCAAGGGCACGCGGCCCGGCGUGUCGGGCUCAAUCAGGCCACCGGUCAGGUACUGCACCUCCAGGAAGCGCUGGCCGGCCUCGUAGUAGAGCCAGCCCUUCUUCAGGGCCUGGGCGGCCGACAUCUUGGUCUUGGUGCGUGGGUCCUCAAAGCCGCAGAAGGCCUUCUGGGCCAGAUUGAUGCGGUCCACCAUGAUCUUGUCCACCAGGCCCUUGUUGACAGCGUCGGUGACAGGGAAGCGCUCACCGGUGCUGGGGUCGAUGAUGCCCCCGGUGCAGGCCUGUGCCUCCAGCAGUCGCUGCCCUGUGAUGUUAUCCACCAGGUUGCGGUGCAUGGCCUCGGUGAUGGACACCUUCUCCAGCGUCUCCGUGUCCAGGAUGCCAGCCACGGGGCCCGUCUCCUCAGUGGGGUCUGACCAGGAGGCCAGCUGGGUCCUGGAGACGGCGGGGCUGAUGGGGUAGGAGGAGGAGGAUCCCACGGAGGAGGAACGGGACCGGAAGCCGCUGGCAUUGCCCGAGAGCAUGUCGGCGAACUCGGUGAUGGAGAGCGUGCCGGCGCGGUACUGGUCCAGUGCCGAGCGGUCGAUGAGGUUCUUGGCGAUGGCGUCGUCAAUGUCGUACUGGCGGCCGGAGCGGCGGUCGAUGAUCAUGGACUUAACUACGCCGUCCGAGGAGGAGAUGGUGAUCUCCUCCCACUCGCACUCCUGCUCGGACAGCUCCAGGUACGUCUGGUGGUCAAUGAGGCCCUUGCGGUAGGCCUCGUACACGGACAUCUCCUUGCCCGUCUCGGGGUCCACGAUGACCACUCGGCGCUUGCGCACGGAGGACUUGGAGGACGUCUUCCGCUCCCGCUUCUUCUCCUUCAGCGGCAGGAGGCACAGGCCCGUCUGGGGGUCGGUGAUACAACGCUCCAUCAGCUGCAGGUAGGUGAGGUUCUCCUCCGUGUUGGGGUCAAAGAAGCCCUUGGUGUCAUCCGAGGGGUCGGUCAGGAUCUCGUUCAUCUCCUCGUCGAAGAGGCCACGCUUGUAGGCCACCUCCACGGGCAGCCGGUGGCUCUCCUCGGGGUCGAUGAUGCCACCCGUGGCGAUCUGGGCCUCCAGCAGGCGGAUGCCGUGGUCCUUCAGGAUCAGGCCCUUCUUCAUGGCCUGGAAGAGGGAGAUGAGCUUCCCAGAGUAAGGGUCCUUGUACCCGGUGACGGCUCGCUCGGCCGACAGCAGCUUGUCCUUGAACUCGGGGCCCACGAUGCCCAUACGCACAGCCUCCUCCACCGUCAGCUUCAGUCCCUUGAUGGGGUCGAUGACGUACCCGGUGGCCGCCUGUGCCUCUAGAAGCUCAAAGGCCGUGCCGGGGCGGAUGAUGCCCUUCUUCAUGGCCUGGUACACCGAGAGCCGUUCCUUGGUGGCGUCCACGAAGACGCCGGCGAUGCAGCUGGUGCCUUCCAGGAACUUCUGUAAGUUCUUGGUGACCUCCUCGAUGGAGGUCAGGCCCUCCCGCAGCUGCAGCGCCGUGGCCUCGUCCAUGACCUGCGAGCGCACCAGCUCCUCCACGGUGAUCUGCUUCCGCAGGCCACGGAAGGUCAGCUUGCGAGCGUCCGACAGCGGCAGGAGCAGCUGGCCGGUGCCAUCGUCACGGCGACACCGUCUGAGCAGCUGUGUGUAGCUGAGGCGCUCGUCGGUGGACGGGUCCACGUAGCUGCGCACCUCGCUGGGCUCGGAGAGCUGGUCGUGCGUGUCCUUGUUGAGGUAGCCGCGCUGGUAAGCCACCUCCAGUGGAAGGUGGAAGCCCAGGCGGGGGUCCACGAUGCCGCCGGUGGCCAGCUGGGCAUCCAGCAGCCGCAGGGCCUCCUCAGUAGGGAUCAGCUCCUUCUUCAUGGCCUGGAAGAGCGAGAUGGUCUGCUCAGUGUAGGGGUCGCGGUAGCCGGUGACCGCCCGCUCAGCCGAGAGCAGGCGGUCGUGCAGCUCGGGCCCCACCAGGCCCUUCCGCACAGCCUCAUCCACAGUCAGCCGCUGCCCCUUCACUGGAUCCAGCAGGAAGCCCGUGGCUGCCUGUGCCUCCAGCAGCAGGCGGGCCACCUCGGCACUCAGCAGCCCUUUCUUGAGGGCCUGGUAGAUGCUCAGUGUCUGCCUGGAGCCGGGCAAGUAGACGCCGGCCACGCAGCCCGUGCCAUAGAGGUAGCGCCAGGCGGACUCCGCCUCGAGGGCCUCACGGAGGCUCCUGGUGCCCUCCCGGAGCAGGUUGUAGGUCUCGAGGGAGAUGAUCCGAGCCUCGUAGAGGUCCUCAGCUGUGAGGCGGCGGCGCACAUAGUCGUAGGAGGCCAGACCCUGCUGGCGGAUGAUCUCCGUCUUCUCAAUGAUCUCAAUGAUGAUGAUGAUCAUGCGUUCCUUGGUCACCCGGCCGGCCUGAAAGUCAGCCAUCAGCUGGGCCCGCUGCUCCUCGGGGAUCAGGUCCGACUGCAUCACCUCCCACAGGGACAUGGUGGAGCCGCCGUGGCUGCCGCCGCCAGGAAUGUCAAUCUGCGUCUCUUCAAAUGCCCUUCGUGUCUCCUCCUCAGUGUACACCUGUGUGGUCUCCACCACCUCAGCCUUCUCCGCCCCUUUCAAUGGCAGGAGGCGCAGGCCCGUCUCAGGGUCCUCCACGCAGCGCUCCAGCAGCUGCCUAUAUGUGAGGUUCUCGUGCGUGUUGGGGUCAAAGAAGCCCUUGGUGUCGUCACUGGGGUCCGCCAAGACGCGGUUCAUCUCCUCGUUGAAGUAGCCACGCUGGUAGGCCACGUCCACGGGCACGCGGUGGCUGUGCACGGGGUCGAUGAUGCCACCCGUGGCGAUCUGGGCCUCCAGCAGGCGGAUGCCAUGCUGCCGGAGGACCAGGCCCUUCUGCAUGGCCUGGAAGAGGGAGAUGGUACUGCCUGAGUAGGGGUCUCUGUAGCCGGUGACAGCCUUCUCGGCUGACAGCAGCUGCUCAUGAAGCUCGGGGCCCACCACGCCUGCCUUCACGGCCUCGUGGACAUACAGGCGCUGGUUCCGCACGGGGUCCACCAGGAAGCCAGUGGCCGCCUGCGCCUCCAGCAGGAGCGCAGCGGUGCUGGGUCUCAGCAGGCCCCGGCGCAUGGCCUCGUAGAUGGACACCUUCUCCUUGGUGUCCUCCAGGUAGAUGCCAGCGAGGCAGCCACUGCCCUGCAGCAGCGUCCGCACGGAGUCCAGCUCCGAAAGGUCCUUGACCGUCGUCUUGCCGUCCUUGAGCUGCUCAAACUGGGCUCUGCUGAGGACCCUGGAAGCCAGGAGCUCGCUGGCUGGCACAGGGGCACGGAGGCCGCUGAAGGACAGCCUCUCCUGCCGCAGGGUCUCCACCUCCUCCACGAUGGUGAUGAGGAUCUUGAUGACCUUCUCCACGGUGACCUUGCCGGUGCGGAAUUGACGCAGCAGCUCCUGCCGCUGCUCUGCGGUGAAGUACUCAGAGCUGAUGAGCUCCCACACUGUCACCGUCCUGCCCUUGAAGCCGCCCACGGGGACGUCAACCGGGGUCUUCUCGAAGGUCUCACGGGCCUGCAGCUCUGAGUAGAGCUCCUCCUGCCGGGCCCGAGCAGCCUUCUCUGAGAGCGGCAGCAGGCUCAGCCCAGUCAGCUGGUCGGGCCGGCACCGCUGCUGGAGCUCGCUGUAGGUGACCGGCUCCCCUGUGCUGGGGUCACAGUAGGCCUUGGCGUCAGCCCUUGGUGCUGACAGGGCCCUGCUGGUCUCCUCGUCCAGGAAGCCUCGGGCGCAGGCAACAUCCAGGGGCACGCGGUGGCUCUUGCUGGGGUCCACGACACCGCCCGUGGACAACUGGGCGUCCAACAGGCGCAGGCCCUGCUCCCGGGGAAUGAGGCCCUUCUUCAGGGCCUGGAACAGCGAGACACUCUGCCCCGUGUAGGGGUCCCUGUAUCCCGUCACAGCCUUCUCGGCUGACAGCAGCUUCUCAUGAAACUCGGGGCCCACCAGGCCGGCGCGCACUGCCUCGUCCACGGUCAGCCGGGCGCUGGUGGAGGGGUCGAUGAUGUGCCCGGUGCCAGCCUGGGCUUCCAACAGGGCCACAGCCACGUCGGACGGCAGCAGGUCUUUCUUCAGGGCGUCGUAGACGCUCAGCUUCUGCCCUGCCUCCUCCAGCCACACGCCUGCGAUGACGUUGGCACCCCGGAGGGCCCGCCGCACAGCGUCCACCUCGGCCACCUCUCGCACAGAGCGCUCACCUUGUUGCAGCUGGUGGUAGAGCUCGCGGUCGAUGACCCUGCUCUCCAGCAGCUCAGCGGCUGGCACCAGGCUGCGCAGGCCCUCGAAGCAGAGCUGGCCCUUCUGCUCCUGCUCCUCCACCACCGUGAUGAUGAUCUUGAUGAUCUUCUCCACCGUGAUCCGGCCCGUGCGGAACUGCCGCAGCAGGUCCCGCCGCUGCUCCGCUGUGAAGUAUUCCGAGUUGAUGAUUUCCCAGAUGGUCACCGUCUUGCCCUGGAACUUGCCGAACGGCGCGGACACAGUGGCCUUCUCAAAGACGUCCCGGGCCUCGGAGUCGGUGUAGACCAGCUCCCUGCCCUUGGCCGCCUUAUCCGUGAGCGGCAGAAGGCGCAGGCCCGUCUCGGGGUCCUCCACGCAGCGCUCCAGCAGCUGCAGGUAGGUGAGGUUCUCGUGCGUGUUGGGGUCGAAGAAGCCCUUGGUGUCGUCGCUGGGGUCCGCCAGGACGCGGUUCAUCUCCUCGUCGAAGUAGCCGCGCCGGUAGGCCACGUCCACGGGCACGCGGUGGCUGUGCACGGGGUCGAUGACGCCGCCCGUGGCGAUCUGGGCCUCCAGCAGGCGGAUGCCGUGCUCCCGGACGAUGAGGCCCUUCUGCAUGGCUUGGAAGAGGGAGAUCUGCUGCCCGGUGUAGGGGUCCUUGUAGCCAGUGACGGCGCGCUCGGCCGACAGCAGCUUGUGGUGCAGCUCAGGGCCCACCACGCCCUCCUUCACAGCCUCAUUGACAGUCAGCCGUCGGUUCCGCACCGGG